UUCUGCAAUGCGCCCUGCCCCCAACACUGCCAGUGCUUGCAAACUUAGAGGAUUUAAAUUCAUCACUAGUGUUUUGAAAUCCCAGGAUGUGUUCCUGAGACAGUCUUCGUUGUUUUAUUGUCCUGGGCAUUCUGCGUCCUUUCAGUCUGGAGAUUUUUAGCUUCCUUUGCUUCUGAGUCUCUAUUUGCAGUGCCCCGAUGCUAGAAACCUGAGAUCCCAUGGCUUCUCCAGAAUGGAGGCUUGGGCAUUGUCAGCACCCUCCUUCCAAGAGUUGAAAGUUCCUCUCUUCUGGAAGACAAACUGAUGUGAGGAUGAGGAGGAGUCAGAAAUAAACUCAUUCAACUAAUACUUGAGUAGCUACUGUUGCCUACAGUAUGUUCAAGGUUUUGCUAGUCAUCCAUAUGAUCACUAUUGACAGCUUGGGAGACUCACACAGGCUAGUGAAUUUCAGGAAUUAACAGAAACUGAACAGCUUCUAUAAUCCUGCAGGAAGUAACCUCUGGAUGGCACAAACUAUGUAGAGGAAUGGUCAUUCCUCAACUCCCAUGACUGGGAUUCAAGGAGAGCUGUUCUCAGUCAUCUGCAUGUGUUUGACUUUCCUGAUUGAUGACUGCCUUAUCUCCAUCCCCUGGGAACAGUUCUAAAAUAUGAACUGAAAGUCAGGGGUCAGUGGAUGCUGCGUCUGUGAGACACAACUUCAGAGGUGACUAAACUCUCCCUAGAGCUGCCCUCCUCGAAGAUCUUUGUCCUCGGAAAUUGUCAGGGGAAUCUCAAUUUGGCAGCACCAGAUGUCCCAGAGUCUAGGGAGUCAUCAGGCACUAACUUGGGUUUUUUUAAAGUUUGAAUCACAGUUGAUUCGGAAAAUGAUGGAAAGCUGUCAACUAAAGGAAGGUCUGUCGCUCUUUUUAUUUUUGCAUUGUCUUCAGAGGGAGGCCUUCCUAGAAUCCUGACUAGAAUUAACUAGAUCUGAAAGGAAGGCACGAUUUGAAGAGGAGAGGUUUCUACCUAAGCCUUGAUGACAAGAGUUCUGAGGAUGCUGUGGGCCUGGAGAGAAAACUCAAGCUAAACCAAGUAACUCAGUUUAAAUGUAGUUCAGGAGUGAUUUGCAGUGACAUUGCUUCCUCAUAUCCUGAGUGUGCCAGUUGGGAAGGCAUUCUAGAUUUUUAAAGUAUAUAGCAAAUUUCCAUGACUUUCCAAACAGUCCCAAUUCCCUUUGAGAGAGAAAAACAAACGCUGUUUUGUAUUAGAGUGGUUCUCUACCUAUCUUCACAGCAAAGGGUCUUAGAACCUUAGAAGAUUUGAUAAUAUUUGAAAAAUGGAGUCAGAAAUUUCUAUUGAAGUAUUACUAUAAUUUUGUAGCUCUCUGUGAACCCCACAGGAAAUGGGGAAUUUGUAACACGUAUAACCAGACUAAACAGCCAAGAAGUUUUAGUUUAGACACUGUCCAGGAGAGCUGUUGUGGGGCUUGCAAAGACGAGGGAGAUGCAGACCCUGCCUUGGACUUCCUCCUCUGGGAGAAACAGGAAAGGGCCUGGGGUCCAUGAAAAGGGCCUCACAGGAGCCAGAGGAGGACAUGGACGUGGUCAUAUUGUCUGCAGAGAGUGUUUGGAAGCCGUGAGCAGAUCCUGUGGUUUCAGUAGCUCCCAUUUCCUGGACUAGCAGGGGGAAAAAGAUGAAGAGAUCAAUAAUAGGUUUGAUAAAAGUCCAAAUAUGCCUUAAUAAGAAAUUGUCUCUCAUGGAGUAUACUUCAUUAAAGAAAGAAAUUUAGAAUACCUGCUUUUUUUUUGUUCAGACAAUCAGAUCAAACAGAGAACAUCCACUUUGGUUAGAUUAUGUGCUGUCAUGCAAAGCAAUUUACCAUAGACAUGUACAAAAGAAAAGCUUUUUGUGUGUCUGACAAGAAGUGUAUUAGGCUAUUUUUUUCUUUCAAACAAUGCUUAUUACUUUACUGGUCAUGGUUUAUUGAAACUGUAUUAGGGAUACUGCAAGUGAAAUAGUUCACAAGGUAUGUAGCACUUAGUAAAUAUUCAGGAUGCUUUGAUUUUACUCUAUUAUUGGGAUGAGCUAGAGGAGGGGGCUGGAGAAGGGGAAAUAGGAAAAAGAGAAGAGUGGAAAAGGUCAAGGUUCUUCGUGGCUGUAAAAUAUUUCCUGUGCUGAUCCUUUCCUUCGAGCUGAGAGCUGACCCCUGGCUGUCAUGCGUGGACUGGCAGCCUCUUCACUCUCAGCCUUGAGGCCUCCUCUUGAGAGUCAGAAGCUUCUAAUUCACAAGUCUGAAACACAGGCUUAGGGCUAAUGCACUGAUGGUGCAACUGGCUCCUAGAAAAUAUAUCUAUAAAUUGCAUUUUGUAUAUAAUUACAUAUCAAAUUUGUAACUUCUAACUGCUCACUUUUCAAAAAAAAAAUG
rnacentral:lncRNA from 1 species